GUGCCUUACCACUCUCACUGUAAAAGCCUUUUUCCUUCUAUCCAACCUAAAUCUCCUCUCUUUGAGCUUGAAGCCUCACUCUUACUGUUUUCACAGUCUGGUUUUCAUUGGGAUGUUGCUUGUAUUCCCACAAGGCUAAACAUUUUCAGCUAUUGAUGGCAGUUAAUAGCUUGUGGAGGGAUGUGUGAGAAGAGUUGUUUGCAGGGGCAAAAAAAAAAAGAAAUAUAAAUAAAAGCUGAGGUUUUUAGACUGAAACAGCUGAGAGAAAGGCAUUGGAGUGUAGAUGUCAUAUAUAUGGAUGUGAAACAUUCCUAAAAAUGUGUUGCAUCUCAAAGAUGGUCAAAAUAUGGACUUCAGUUCUGCUACAUUUGAGGCUACUUGUUGGGUUCUGGUGCACACCAUUAGUUCGGAGAGGCGGAUGUUUUGUGUUGGAAUAAGCUGUCAGCAAUUUGUGUCAGCCCUGCUGGGGCUGCCUGCAUUUAGGUAGUCGUAUGGGGACAAAGGAAAUCGAGAACUUUUUCUAGGUUACAGCAGUUUUCAAAUCCACCCAAAUACUCUCUCAUGCGGGCUUCUCACCUGCAGCUUUAAGACGUCCAUCAGUCUCAUGGGAUCUCUGGUAAACACCGAGUAGAUUCCCUGGAGUGCUUCAUCAAGAUCAAGUGCAGCAAAAGACUCAGUGCUGUCUCAUUCUCUGCCCAGCCUUGGGCACAGAUUUGAGCAACAUGAGAGCUGCUGUGACCCAUGUCAUCUGGCAGUGGUCCCCAAGAGCUUGUUUACACAGGAUAUUUUUUCACGAGAAUGUAAUUACACCGCUGAAACUACAUGAGCGUGAAAACUUUGCACGUGUAGCAGAGUUAAGCCAGGACUUCUGCGUUAGCCAGGGCUCGAUUCUGCAAGGUGCAGAGCGCAGGUGUGAGGCACUGACUGUCCCUUGUUCCCUGCCAUCAGCGGCCCAGGAGAACAGUCAUUGUCCUUCAGGAAUGCUUGACAUCAUUCGGAAAUGCUGAGCACCUUCCAGGACUGGAACUACUGGGAUGAACAGGGCAGAAACAGGCUCAUGCUUUGCAUUUGGCCCAGGCUAUGCUUUUAAAGGACAUGAGGAAGUUCUUUAUUCUGGACUACGAGCCUGCUCUUGCUUUGACUGAAGCAAGUGGAUUUUGUUUCUGUACUUUGAUGUAGAGAGUAGAGAUUGAUUUUCAUCAGCUUGUGGCUGUUGAGUAGCAAGUCAGGCAGUCUGGCUGCUCCACAGCAUCACAGGCAGGCUGAGCCACAAACACAGCAUCAUCAUUUUUUUUCACACCUUCCUCUGCUCACCUUCAUCAAACAGCUCCUCUUCAUUAAAGCAGUUCCUCCGCUUCUCUGCUCGCUUUACAUGUUAUGACACUGCUGUGAAGCACAGAAUUCACUGAAGCCUUAGAGAGAAAUAGAUAAAUGAGACAUCUUGAGCCAUCACUACAGAGAGAGAAAAGGAGGACAUGGUGCUGAUUUCAGCAAACACUCAUGUUUCCACAACACUUACUCACUGUUAGGCUACUCCACAAACCUUUUAUGUAAAGAAAAUUUGCAAGAAUAGCAACGAAGAUGACAUAAUGAAUGAAGUGAGCAGUUAUUUUUGGCUGCCCCCAAUUUGGGUGACAUUGAGUUUGGCCACAGCACCUGCCAUGAUGGCUUGAUAAGGUCUGAAAUAGUGCCUGAAUAAUAAAUGAGGCUCACAUCUGGUAAAAUUCAGUGUUUGAGGUUUUUUUUUUUAAUGUUCUUUUAUCAUGUUCCUGUUGCUUGACUUUAUCUGAAGGGAUUAUGUUUAGAGAGCAUACAUAGACAAAUAGAUAUGCUAAUAAAAAAUGCUAUAGUUGAUAAGGUACAGGCAACACGGAGCAUUCAGUGCAGGCUACAACCAGCUCCAGACUAAAAAUGGUUACUAACGUAACUGAAAUUUGUACUUUGGUCAUUAAAAAACACAGAUAACAAAUGAGUAAAUGAUCCUUUUGACUGGUUUACUUUCAGGAGGCUAGAUUAUAUUUGUCAGUGUAGAUCAAGAGAAUGGUGAAAGAAGGGAAAUAAAAGGAGUUGCGCUUUCUAUUCUAGUAACUAGAAUGAGGGGUCGAGGGGGAAAUGCAGGUUUCAAUCUGAUAAAUAAGUGCAUGAUAUAUGCCGGGCUUAUGGCAGUGUUGUUGCAGGCCAGGAGAGCUCGGGAGGGACGUGUAUUUCUAAGCCCUGUGAGACUGGCAGUUCUCACUCUUAAUCCAGUUCCCAUCUUCUCUGCUAGUGGAGAGAGUACCCACGUUCAGAGGCUUUGACAGGACUCAGCAUCCAACAGCAUCUGAUGGAUCACCUAUUACAGUCUGAAGACUUUAAAUCUGUCCAAGAGUGGUUUCCAAAGCUCAGAAUGAACGAUUUUGUAAUCAGCAACCUGACUUCCAGAGCUGCUUGAUAGUACAAAAUCUCAUUAAAGAUAAAAGACUAAAAGAAAAAAUCCUGAAACACCUGGUAUCACCAACUCCCAGCAAGAAGCAGCAUUACUGAACACUGUGGCAGAAGCCUGGAUUCUAGAAAGAUCAGGGAAAAAGAAGAAACUGCAGUAGAAACAUUUGGCUUGUCACAAUUGUUAUAUGGCACCGUAGCUGCAACUUCGUAAUGUGCAAUAAAACUGACAUGACGAGUUUUCUUUGAAAAGCACUUUGGUUCUGGAAUAAAAUCACAUGCAUCAAAAAUAUGGCAUAGCCUUCUGUAUUGCAUAAUGUAUUGCAUAAGAGAAAAUAGAGAAUAGCUGUUUCACAUUAAUGCUUUGUCACAUGGGCAGGUGAGGCAUGCCAAUGGUGAAUGAAAUUUCGCCGUGGAAAGCAAA